AGUGAACGCUGGCGGCAGGCCUAACACAUGCAAGUCGAGCGGCAGCGGGUCCUUCGGGAUGCCGGCGAGCGGCGGACGGGUGAGGAAUGCAUCGGAAUCUGCCCUGUCGUGGGGGAUAACCUAGGGAAACUUAGGCUAAUACCGCAUACGACCCACGGGUGAAAGCGGGGGAUCGCAAGACCUCGCGCGAUAGGAUGAGCCGAUGUCCGAUUAGCUAGUUGGCGGGGUAAAGGCCCACCAAGGCGACGAUCGGUAGCUGGUCUGAGAGGAUGAUCAGCCACACUGGGACGGGGACACGGCCCAGACUCCUACGGGAGGCAGCAGUGGGGAAUAUUGGACAGUGGGCGCAAGCCUGAUCCAGCCAUGCCGCGUGGGUGAAGAAGACCUUCGGGUUGUAAAGCCCUUUUGUCCGGGAAGAAAUCGUCUGGGCUAAUACCCCGGGCGGAUGACGGUACCGGAAGAAUAAGCACCGGCUAACUUCGUG
rnacentral:rRNA from 1 species